rnacentral:rRNA from 1 species
GAACGCUGAGAACUGGUGCUUGCACCGGUUCAAAGAGUUGCGAACGGGUGAGUAACGCGUAGGUAACCUACCUCAUAGCGGGGGAUAACUAUUGGAAACGAUAGCUAAUACCGCAUAAGAGAGACUAACGCAUGUUAGUAAUUUAAAAGGGGCAAUUGCUCCACUAUGAGAUGGACCUGCGUUGUAUUAGCUAGUUGGUGAGGUAAAGGCUCACCAAGGCGACGAUACAUAGCCGACCUGAGAGGGUGAUCGGCCACACUGGGACUGAGACACGGCCCAGACUCCUACGGGAGGCAGCAGUAGGGAAUCUUCGGCAAUGGGGGCAACCCUGACCGAGCAACGCCGCGUGAGUGAAGAAGGUUUUCGGAUCGUAAAGCUCUGUUGUUAGAGAAGAAUGAUGGUGGGAGUGGAAAAUCCACCAAGUGACGGUAACUAACCAGAAAGGGACGGCUAACUACGUGCCAGCAGCCGCGGUAAUACGUAGGUCCCGAGCGUUGUCCGGAUUUAUUGGGCGUAAAGCGAGCGCAGGCGGUUUUUUAAGUCUGAAGUUAAAGGCAUUGGCUCAACCAAUGUACGCUUUGGAAACUGGAGAACUUGAGUGCAGAAGGGGAGAGUGGAAUUCCAUGUGUAGCGGUGAAAUGCGUAGAUAUAUGGAGGAACACCGGUGGCGAAAGCGGCUCUCUGGUCU